rnacentral:tRNA from 1 species
CAUGUCGUAGCUCAAAAGACAGAGCACUCCCCUCACGCAAGGAGUGGUUGCGGGUUCGAAUCCCGCCGGCAUCU